GCGGGGAGCAUAUCAAUAAGCGGGGGAUCUUGGUCAUUAAGAGGAAAGUAAGCGGAGGAGCAUAUUAAUAAUGGGCGGAAAUCGGGGGCAUGUGCACGCUCUGUUUACACAUACACUCACACCUGUGCACCCUCUGUAGUUCUGUGGUCAGGGGUCCCAUCCCCUUGCCGUGGUUCUACGUAUUUACACACACACCGUAACAAAGUCUCAUGGAAUGUUGCCGCGUUUAACGCAAUACAAUACAACUUUCAGCAACGGAUCUCUUGGCUCUCGCAUCGAUGAAGAACGCAGCGAAAUGCGAUAAGUAAUGUGAAUUGCAGAAUUCAGUGAAUCAUCGAAUCUUUGAACGCACCUUGCGCCCUUUGGCUAUUCUGAAGGGCAUGCCUGUUUGAGUAUCAUGAACACCUCAACUCUCAUGGUUUGCCAUGAUGAGCUUGGACUUUGGGGGUUUUGCUGGCCUUUGGUCAGCUCCUCUCAAACGGAUCAGCUUGCCAGUGUUUGGUGGCAUCACGAGUGUGAUAACUAUCUACGCUCGUGGUUUUCCGCCAGGUAACCUUCAGUGAUGGAGGUUCGCUGGAGCUCAUAAACGUCUCUCCUCAGCGAGGACAGCAUUUGAACGUUUGAUCUCAAAUCACGUAGGACUACCCGCUGAACUUAAGCAUAUCAAUUA
rnacentral:rRNA from 1 species